CGAGACAACAUAGCCACAAAGAUCCUGGAUCAUUUCAAGUUCCCUGAGUCACUAGCCAGUUCCAGAUCUAGAAAUACAAUUCUGAUUAAAAUAAUGACUGGACUUAAACUUUUAUCCAUGCUCCCUCCUAAAAUUUCUCUGAAAUGGCAACAAGAUGAAGAUGGUGGGAGAAGAGACAUUAAGAAUGACAUUUUGGAAUUGAGAAAGGAGGAGGAUGAGAAGAUAAUUGAAUUAACAGACCUGAAAACUCUGAAAUCUAACUUAACAGUGAGGGAAACUUUUAUUUGGCAGUCUAAAAAAAUGUAUAGAGUAACUGCUCUGUGGUUUGACUGUUUCCCCAAAG
rnacentral:lncRNA from 1 species